AGGACGAACGCUGGCGGCGUGCUUAACACAUGCAAGUCGAGCGGAAAGGCCCUUCGGGGUACUCGAGCGGCGAACGGGUGAGUAACACGUGAGCAACCUGCCCCUGGCUCUGGGAUAGCCUUCGGAAACGGGGAUUAAUACCGGAUAUUCACUGCUUCCUGCAUGGGGGGUGGUGGAAAGUUUUUCGGCUGGGGUGGGGCUCGCGGCCUAUCAGCUUGGUUGGGGGGGUGACGGCCCACCAAGGCGACGACGGGUAGCCGGCCUGAGAGGGCGACCGGCCACACUGGGACUGAGACACGGCCCAGACUCCUACGGGAGGCAGCAGUGGGGAAUAUUGCGCAAUGGGCGGAAGCCUGACGCAGCGACGCCGCGUGCGGGAUGAAGGCCUUCGGGUUGUAAACCGCUUUCACCAGGGACGAAGCGAGAGUGACGGUACCUGGGGAAGAAGCGCCGGCUAACUACGCGCCAGCAGCCGC
rnacentral:rRNA from 1 species